UAGUGGGCCCUAAGGUCAAAUUUCCUGGGUACAAAGUCCUGCUCCACUACCUACUAACUGCAUCCUUGGGAGAGUUACUUAGUCGCUCUGUGCCUGGGGCUCCCCAUCUGUAAAAUGCACACAACAGUAAUAUUUCACUCACUGCAUUGUUAUAACUAUCAAAUAAGUCGAUAUGGGCAAAGUGCUUAAAACUGUGCCCGGCACUUAGCAUUUGACAAAUAUGAGUUAUUGCUAAUGCAAGACAGUUUACAUACAUCAUCUCCAUCGUCUGUCUCAAAUCCUUUUUCAGAGCAAGACUGGUUAUAAAGAAUCUCGAACUGACAUACUGAUCCAGUAAGAUGAGAAAAUCAGGCUCAGAGAAAAUAAAUGGCUUUGCCCCAAGCCUCGGUUAGGGAGAGCCAGAGCCAGAAUGCAAACCCGAGACUGUCUACCAUUUUCCUUGGAACCAGGCAGAGAAGAAGAAAAAAGUUCUAUGGUCAGCUUGGGACGCAGCAGCAAUUAAGACAAACCCAGUGGCACCGUGACAUGAGCAAGUGGGUUCUCUGGCUCCAUUUUCCACAGUCAAUGAAAGGAUCUUUAAGGGACCGUUCUUGGUCACUAUGUGCUGGCCUCAGUGAGGAUGGGCCUUAAUGCUGGUGCUGAUUAGAAGAGAUCCUAAGUAGCCCAAGCCACCUGGCGGUUGUGGAUGGACUCACAGGCUGCUACGGUCAGGCAGGAAGACCUCUGGAGCCACCAUUAAACCCAAAGUGGCGGAUGGGGACCUUCUAGUGCUUGCUUGGCUGGAAGAAGCUGACAGUCAAAACCCAGCAGAUCUCUAGGCCAUGGUGCUCCUCCCAGGGACCCCUCACCUGCCAUGGCCAGGUUAGGGAAAGAUCUGCCCUCUGGCCUUUCAUCUGCCAUGGCCACAGAGGAAGACACCAGAGAGCUUGAGCUCCUUGGAAGUAUCUAGAUGAAGCUUUCCAACAGGAAACCAAAGUAAGGCCUUAGCCCAUGAACAAAGGGCAGCUGGUCAAGCUUCCUUACUAGGUGGGACCAGGCAGGGCCAACUCAAAGAAGCACUUCUUAUGGCUUCCCUGACAAACUGGCUAGUGUCCUGGAGACUGGGCAUUCUGGCCUCCUGGCUGCCUUUCACACCUGACCUUGCCUGCCACAGCCCUCAUCCCUCCACAGGAGCCCCCCCACCCCACCCCGGUGAGCUGAGCCCCUUCACACCCAUAUGGAGGGAUGAGGGUGAGGCCCAGGGAUACAGAGUUCUCAGGCAUGGGAGGUACAAAGACCCCCGGAGAGCAGGGGCAGAGG